rnacentral:sRNA from 1 species
GCUGGGCGUGGCGAUGCAUGCCUGUAAUCUCAGCAAUUUGGGAGGCUGAGGCAGGAGGAUCAUGAGUUCAAAGCCAGCCUCAC